CGUCUUUAUAAAUACAGAUUUUACCCUCUCUUGUAAGAUUCUCAGUGUCGAAAUUGUCAAUCUGUCAAUCUAGAACAUUCUAACAACAACCAAAUGAUGCGUUAAUCAUGUUCUGAUCUCUUCGGAGGGUGGGUGAAGUCAUGCUAGACACACACACUCCCUUUAUCCAUAAUCUCUCAGUCUUCCUAUAUAAACCCACCCCAGCUUCAGGUCUACAAAUACCCAAAACACACAUGCAUGCCCUUGACAAAGAGUUCAGCAAGGCAACAUACACACGAAAGAGAAAAGGCAGAACUCCUGAAGCAACUUCUCAAGGACACAAUAUUUCACCAAGAAGAUGAUGUGUUCAAGGUGUUUGCUACUUAUCCUGGUUGUCUACUUCUUGAUGGAUGAUCUUUGUGCUUUCCUGAUACCAGACAGACUACGGGUGAAAAGAAGCAAUUUCAGGUCGGAUCAGGAGACGUCAGCGCACAUCUAUGAGCUGUCUGAUCUGGCAGACUUGUUCCCAGGAAAUGAAGGGGAAAUGACUCGGGAUUGGGACCCCAAUCCAGCUAAGACCCCCGAUUUCUUUUCCCCUCUGGAACACAUCAAUGUGCAACCAGCAACUAGCAACUCUCGCAAAAACAAGGAUAAGA